UGCAGCUCGUCCACGAUG
rnacentral:miRNA from 1 species